rnacentral:rRNA from 1 species
UACAGAGGGGGCAAGCGUUAUUCGGAAUUAUUGGGCGUAAAGAGCUCGUAGGCGGUCUGUCGCGUCGGCUGUGAAAACCCGGGGCUCAACCCCGGGCCUGCAGUCGAUACGGGCAGACUAGAGUGCGGUAGGGGAGACUGGAAUUCCUGGUGUAGCGGUGAAAUGCGCAGAUAUCAGGAGGAACACCGAUGGCGAAGGCAGGUCUCUGGGCCACUACUGACGCUGAGAAGCGAAGCAUGGGGAGCGAACAGG